UACGUAGGUGGCAAGCGUUAUCCGGAAUUAUUGGGCGUAAAGAGCGCGCAGGUGGUUGAUUAAGUCUGAUGUGAAAGCCCACGGCUUAACCGUGGAGGGUCAUUGGAAACUGGUCGACUUGAGUGCAGAAGAGGGAAGUGGAAUUCCAUGUGUAGCAGUGAAAUGCGUAGAGAUAUGGAGGAACACCAGUUGCGAAGGCGGCUCUCUGGACUGUAACUGACACUGAGGCACGAAAGCGUGGGGAGCAAACAGGAUUA
rnacentral:rRNA from 1 species